rnacentral:sRNA from 1 species
CGAUUUCAAUGGGAAUGAAUCAGCGGUUUUCGUACAG